AAGUCGUAACAAGGUUUCCGUAGGUGAACCUGCGGAAGGAUCAUUACCAAUUUUAAUCCAAAUCUCAAACCCAUGUGAACUAUUGCAUUGUCUGUCUUUGGGGUGAUUUGAUGUUUUGCCUGUAUUUUACUUGGGCAAUCGUGAUAUUCACCCCAAAUAUUUUGUUCAAACCCUUUAUUUCUUGACCAUGGCAUCUAUUGUCUUAAUAAAUUAAAUAAAGGACAACUUUUAACGGUGGAUCUCUUGGCUCGUG
rnacentral:misc_RNA from 1 species